rnacentral:rRNA from 1 species
GUCCUGGCUCAGGAUGAACGCUAGCUACAGGCUUAACACAUGCAAGUCGAGGGGAAACGAUAGAGAAAGCUUGCUUUUUCUAGGCGUCGACCGGCGCACGGGUGAGUAACGCGUAUCCAACCUGCCCACCACUUGGGGAUAACCUUGCGAAAGUAAGACUAAUACCCAAUGAUAUCUCUAGAAGACAUCUGAAAGGGAUUAAAGAUUUAUCGGUGAUGGAUGGGGAUGCGUCUGAUUAGCUUGUUGGG